rnacentral:rRNA from 1 species
AACGAACGCUGGCGGCAUGCCUAACACAUGCAAGUCGAACGAGACCUUCGGGUCUAGUGGCGCACGGGUGCGUAACGCGUGGGAACCUGCCCUUAGGUUCGGAAUAACUCCCCGAAAGGGGUGCUAAUACCGGAUAAUAUCUUCGGACCAAAGAUUUAUCGCCUUUGGAUGGGCCCGCGUUGGAUUAGCUAGUUGGUAGGGUAAAAGCCUACCAAGGCGACGAUCCAUAGCUGGUCUGAGAGGAUGAUCAGCCACACUGGGACUGAGACACGGCCCAGACUCCUACGGGAGGCAGCAGUGGGGAAUAUUGGACAAUGGGCGAAAGCCUGAUCCAGCAAUGCCGCGUGAGUGAUGAAGGCCUUAGGGUUGUAGAGCUCUUUUACCCGGGAUGAUAAUGACAGUACCGGGAGAAUAAGCUCCGGCUAACUCCGUG